rnacentral:rRNA from 1 species
CGGGGGGAGCAAGCGUUGUUCGGAUUUACUGGGCGUAAGGGGCGCGUAGGCGGCCACUGCAAGUCAGUUGUGAAAUCUCCGGGCUUAACUCGGAAAGGCCAAUUGAUACUGCAGGGCUAGAGUGCAGAAGGGGCAACUGGAAUUCUCGGUGUAGCGGUGAAAUGCGUAGAUAUCGAGAGGAACACCUGCGGCGAAGGCGGGUUGCUGGGCUGACACUGACGCUGCAGCGCGAAAGCCAGGGGAGCGAACGGGAUUAGAUACCCCGGUAGUCCUGGCCUUAAACGAUGGAUGCUUGGUGUCUGGAGUUUUAUAGUCUCCGGGUGCCGCAGCUAACGCGUUAAGCAUCCCGCCUGGGGAGUACGGUCGCAAGACUG